GAGAUUACGGCAGGCUUACACAUGCAGUCGAGCGCCCCGCAAGGGGAGCGGCAGACGGGUGAGUAACGCGUGGGAAUCUACCCUUGACUACGGAAUAACGCAGGGAAACUUGUGCUAAUACCGUAUGUGUCCUUCGGGAGAAAGAUUUAUCGGUCAAGGAUGAGCCCGCGUUGGAUUAGCUAGUUGGUGGGGUAAAGGCCUACCAAGGCGACGAUCCAUAGCUGGUCUGAGAGGAUGAUCAGCCACAUUGGGACUGAGACACGGCCCAAACUCCUACGGGAGGCAGCAGUGGGGAAUAUUGGACAAUGGGCGCAAGCCUGAUCCAGCCAUGCCGCGUGAGUGAUGAAGGCCCUAGGGUUGUAAAGCUCUUUCACCGGAGAAGAUAAUGACGGUAUCCGGAGAAGAAGCCCCGGCUAACUUCGUGCCAGCAGCCGCGGUAAUACGAAGGGGGCUAGCGUUGUUCGGAAUUACUGGGCGUAAAGCGCACGUAGGCGGAUCGAUCAGUCAGGGGUGAAAUCCCAGGGCUCAACCCUGGAACUGCCUUUGAUACUGUCGAUCUGGAGUAUGGAAGAGGUGAGUGGAAUUCCGAGUGUAGAGGUGAAAUUCGUAGAUAUUCGGAGGAACACCAGUGGCGAAGGCGGCUCACUGGUCCAUUACUGACGCUGAGGUGCGAAAGCGUG
rnacentral:rRNA from 1 species